AAGUGUUGUUGGUAGUGAUUAUUAUGAUAAGGGAGCAGAGGAUUGGGAAUUGGAAUUUCUUGGGGAGAUUGAGCCCUUAGGUUUUCAAGCACCCAAGAAGAGGAAAAAACAACAAAAUUCCAAAUUGCUUGAAGAUACUGUUGGGAUGGAUUGGUGUUUGAGGGCUAGGAAGGUUGCCCUCAAGUCAAUUGAGGCAAGGGGAUUGAGUCAUAAGAUGGAAGAUUUGAUUAAUGUAAAGAAGAAGAAGAAUAAGAAGAAGAAAAUGAACAAGAAGAACUUGGUGAGUAAGAGUAGGC
rnacentral:misc_RNA from 1 species